rnacentral:rRNA from 1 species
UACGAAGGGGGCUAGCGUUGUUCGGAAUCACUGGGCGUAAAGCGCACGUAGGCGGAUUUUUAAGUCAGGGGUGAAAUCCCGAGGCUCAACCUCGGAACUGCCUUUGAUACUGAGGAUCUGGAGUCCGGGAGAGGUGAGCGGAACUGCGAGUGUAGAGGUGAAAUUCGUAGAUAUUCGGAAGAACACCAGUGGCGAAGGCGACACACUGGCCCGUUACUGACGCUGAGGCGCGAAAGCGUGGGGAGCAAACAGG